rnacentral:rRNA from 1 species
GAUGAACGCUGGCGGCGUGCCUAAUACAUGCAAGUCGAGCGAACAGACGAGGAGCUUGCUCCUCUGACGUUAGCGGCGGACGGGUGAGUAACACGUGGAUAACCUACCUAUAAGACUGGGAUAACUUCGGGAAACCGGAGCUAAUACCGGAUAAUAUAUUGAACCGCAUGGUUCAAUAGUGAAAGACGGUUUUGCUGUCACUUAUAGAUGGAUGCGCGCCGCAUUAGCUAGUUGGUAAGGUAACGGCUUACCAAGGCAACGAUGCGUAGCCGACCUGAGAGGGUGAUCGGCCACACUGGAACUGAGACACGGUCCAGACUCCUACGGGAGGCAGCAGUAGGGAAUCUUCCACAAUGGGCGAAAGCCUGACGGAGCAACGCCGCGUGAGUGAUGAAGGUCUUCGGAUCGUAAAACUCUGUUAUUAGGGAAGAACAAAUGUGUAAGUAACUAUGCACGUCUUGACGGUACCUAAUCAGAAAGCCACGGCUAACUACGU